CUUAAGCAUAUCAAUAAGCGGAGGAAAAGAAACCAACAGGGAUUGCCCUAGUAACGGCGAGUGAAGCGGCAACAGCUCAAAUUUGAAAUCUGGCGCAAGCCCGAGUUGUAAUUUGUAGAGGAUGCUUCUAGGUAGCGACCGGUCUAAGUUCCUUGGAACAGGACGUCAUAGAGGGUGAGAAUCCCGUAUGUGACCGGCCCGCACCUUCUACGUAGCUCCUUCGACGAGUCGAGUUGUUUGGGAAUGCAGCUCUAAAUGGGAGGUAAAUUUCUUCUAAAGCUAAAUACCGGCCAGAGACCGAUAGCGCACAAGUAGAGUGAUCGAAAGAUGAAAAGCACUUUGGAAAGAGAGUUAAAAAGCACGUGAAAUUGUUGAAAGGGAAGCGCUCACAACCAGACUUCUGGGCGGUGUUCCGCCGGUCUUCUGACCGGUCUACUCGCCGUCCCGAGGCCAACAUCAUCUGGGACCGCUGGAUAAGACCUCAGGAAUGUAGCUCCCCUCGGGGAGUGUUAUAGCCUGUGGUGAUGCAGCGCGUCUCGGGUGAGGUCCGCGCUUCGGCAAGGAUGUUGGCGUAAUGGUUGUCAGCGGCCCGUCUUGAAACACGGACCAAGGAGUCUAACAUCUAUGCGAGUGUUCGGGUGUCAAACCCCUACGCGUAAUGAAAGUGAACGGAGGUGGGAAGCGCAAGCUGCACCAUCGACCGAUCCUGAUGUCCUCGGAUGGAUUUGAGUAAGAGCAUAGCUGUUGGGACCCGAAAGAUGGUGAACUAUGCCUGAAUAGGGUGAAGCCAGAGGAAACUCUGGUGGAGGCUCGCAGCGGUUCUGACGUGCAAAUCGAUCGUCAAAUUUGGGUAUAGGGGCGAAAGACUAAUCGAACCAU
rnacentral:rRNA from 1 species